GACGAACGCUGGCGGCGUGCUUAACACAUGCAAGUCGAACGGAAAGGCCCUGCUUUUGUGGGGUGCUCGAGUGGCGAACGGGUGAGUAACACGUGAGUAACCUGCCCUUGACUUUGGGAUAACUUCAGGAAACUGGGGCUAAUACCGGAUAGGAGCUCCUGCUGCAUGGUGGGGGUUGGAAAGUUUCGGCGGUUGGGGAUGGACUCGCGGCUUAUCAGCUUGUUGGUGAGGUAGUGGCUUACCAAGGCUUUGACGGGUAGCCGGCCUGAGAGGGGGACCGGCCACAAUGGGACUGAGGGACGGCCCAGAAGGCAACGGGACGCAACAGUGGAGAGUUUUGCACAGCAGGGCGGAGCCUGAUGCAGCAGUGCCGCGUGCGGGAUGAUGGCCUUCGAGUUGUAAACCGCUUUCGCCGGUAACAAGCAGUGAGUGACGGUAAUGGGUAAAGAAGCACCGGCUAACUACGUG
rnacentral:rRNA from 1 species